GUGGGGAAUAUUGGACAAUGGGCGCAAGCCUGAUCCAGCCAUGCCGCGUGAGUGAUGAAGGCCUUAGGGUUGUAAAGCUCUUUCAGUGGGGACGAUAAUGACGGUACCCACAGAAGAAGCCCCGGCUAACUUCGUGCCAGCAGCCGCGGUAAUACGAAGGGGGCUAGCGUUGUUCGGAUUUACUGGGCGUAAAGCGCACGUAGGCGGAUCGUUAAGUCGGGGGUGAAAUCCUGGAGCUCAACUCCAGAACUGCCUUCGAUACUGGCGAUCUUGAGUCCGGAAGAGGUGAGUGGAACACCUAGUGUAGAGGUGGAAUUCGUAGAUAUUAGGAAGAACACCAGUGGCGAAGGCGGCUCACUGGUCCGGUACUGACGCUGAGGUGCGAAAGCGUGGGGAGCAAACAGGAUUAGAAACCCUGGUAGUCC
rnacentral:rRNA from 1 species